GAUCGGGGUCUUGUGCAAUGUAGAUUUACGAACCCCGUCAGGUCUUGAUCGAAGCAGCGGUAAGUAAAACCCUGCAUGUGAUACAAGGGUGCCUCGGUUGAGU
rnacentral:SRP_RNA from 2 species